ensembl:lncRNA
GCACUUUCCGCCUUUCAAAUCAUAGCUGGGUUUUUCAUGUUGUUUUUUUUUUAUGUGACUAAACCACAGGUGCCAUUUACAUCUUUUGUUUAUUUUGGUGUGUUUUUAUGUCAUGUCGUACAGUAACCCUGCAUCACACUGUUUGCUGGACUGUGUAACAAAGCCGGGUUGAUUCGGAUCCGUCCCUGACUGGAAGACCUGGUGCUGCUUGAUGUGCUGUCGGCAGGCCAGUAGGGGGCGCUGUUCCCUCUGGUCUAAAGGUCAAAUCCCAAUGUCCCAGGGCAGUGAAGGGGUUGUUGCCCUGUGUAGGGUUCCCUCUUUCAGACGUUAUUCAGGUGAUUGUGGUCCUUAUAGAUCCCAUGGUUCUUAUCGUAAUAGAACAGGUGUUAACCCUGGUCUCCUACUUUUCCAAUUAAACCUUGACUACUUAAUCACCGGCAGCUUCCAAAUGGAUCGGUCCUGGUGUUAGAUGGCCGCAACUUGCAAUGGAUUGGGGAGAGUCGAAUAUUAGGUUUCCAGGCUCCCGGGUCACUGGAGCUUGAUGAAAGCAGAAAAUCCCUGAUGACAAUGCCUCCCAUUCUACAGACAAUGGUUGGAGGUGAAGAGCGAAGCUGCAAGGACUGCCCGCUGUGGUGGACACCCCCGGCUGGGAGGUGCGCGUGUGGAUUGCGGGGACCCUCUCUGACACCCACUGUCGCCACGGCCUUGGCUGCCCGUCUCGGAAGGUGCCAGUGGCAGCCAAGCUGUGCCUUAAAGUGUUAUGACAUUAACGCUGCAGCGCCAAGCUGUCCACCAGGCUAUCAAACAUUCAACUCCAGAUGAGAUGUACAGUAAUUGUAUCGUUGACUUUGUUGGAUUUAAUUAUUUGUCACCCAUUGACUUGAUGUCCAGGUUUAGUGUUGGAAUGUGGGACUGUUACGUGGGAUAAAUCUGUUAAAGUCUCUGUUGUGUUAUGUCUCACUUUUGUUAUUCAGAUGUGGCUGUUCUAGAUUGUGUGUUUACUAUAAUAAGAGAUGGCAAGACUGGUUAGGGAUUUCAUAACGUGCUUUGCCAUCUUCAGUGCUAUUGAUAGAAUAGA